rnacentral:rRNA from 1 species
UGGCGGACGGGUGAGUAACGCGUGGGUAACCUGCCUUGUACUGGGGGACAACAGUUAGAAAUGACUGCUAAUACCGCAUAAGCGCACAGUAUCGCAUGAUACAGUGUGAAAAACUCCGGUGGUACAAGAUGGACCCGCGUCUGAUUAGCUAGUUGGUAAGGUAACGGCUUACCAAGGCGACGAUCAGUAGCCGACCUGAGAGGGUGACCGGCCACAUUGGGACUGAGACACGGCCCAAACUCCUACGGGAGGCAGCAUG